UACGAAGGGGGCUAGCGUUGCUCGGAAUCACUGGGCGUAAAGCGCACGUAGGCGGCUUUCUAAGUCAGGGGGUGAAAUCCUGGAGCUCAACUCCAGAACUGCCUUUGAUACUGGCUAUCUUGAGUUCGGGAGAGGUGAGUGGAAUGCCGAGUGUAGAGGUGAAAUUCGUAGAUAUUCGGCGGAACACCAGUGGCGAAGGCGACUCACUGGCCCGAUACUGACGCUGAGGCGCGAAAGCGUGGGGAGCGAACGAG
rnacentral:rRNA from 1 species